CUAGUAAUCGCGCAUCAGCCACGGCGCGGUGAAUACGUUCCCGGGCCUUGUACACACCGCCCGUCAAGCCAUGGAAGCCGGGGGGUGCCUGAAGUGCGCUGCCGCAAGGAGCGCCCUAGGGUAAAACCGGUGACUGGGGCUAAGUCGUAACAAGGUAAC
rnacentral:rRNA from 1 species